rnacentral:rRNA from 1 species
AGAGUUUGAUCCUGGCUCAGAACGAACGCUGGUGGCGUGUUUUAUACAUGCAAGUCGAGCGAGGACGGUAGCAAUACCGAGCCAAGCGGCGAACGGGUGAGUAACGCGUAAGCAAUCUGCCCCACAAUCGGGAACAACCGUGCCAACGCGCGGCUAAUGCCGGAUAUUGUAGUCUACUGCAUAGUAGGCCAACGAAAGAUUUAUUGUUGUGGGAUGAGCUUGCGUCCGAUUAGCUAGUUGGCGGGGUAAUAGCCCACCAAGGCGACGAUCGGUAGCCGGCCUGAGAGGGUGAUCGGCCACAUUGGGACUGAGAUACGGCCCAGACUCCUACGGGAGGCAGCAGUAGGGAAUAUUGCGCAAUGGGGGGAACCCUGACGCAGCAACGCCACGUGUGGGAAGAAGCAUUUCGGUGUGUAAACCACUGUCGGAAAGGAAUAACGGAAGACUUCGGUCUUUAUGAAUGUACUUUUAGAGGAAGCACCGGCAAACUUCGUGCCAGCAGCCGCGGUAAUACGAGGGGUGCAAGCGUUGUUCGGAAUCACUGGGCGUAAAGGGAGCGUAGGCGGAAGUGCAAGCAAUCUGUAUAAUCCUGGGGCCCAACCCCAGUUCUGCAGAUUGGACUGUAUUUCUUGAAUAGUUCAGAGGCAGGCGGAAUUUCUGGUGUAGCGGUGGAAUGCGUAGAGAUCAGAAAGAACACCAAUGGCGAAGGCAGCUUGCUGGGGACUUAUUGACGCUGAGGCUCGAAAGUGUGGGUAGCAAACAGGAUUAGAUACCCUGGUAGUUCUACGUCUUAUGCGAAGCAGGCCGGGGGUAGGAAAAUUGUUUCGGGGAUGCGUAUGCUGUACGCAUUAAGUAGUCGGCGGGGUGAUGGCCCACCGCGAGUAUGAUCUCAAAGGAAUUGACGGGGGCCCGCACAAGCGGUGGAGCAUGUGGUUUAAUUAGAAGCAACGCGCAGACCCUUAUCAGGGUUUGACAUGGAAUCGCCGCAGCGAGAGAUCGCUGUUUAGUAGCAAUAAUGCGGUUCACACAGGUGUUGCAUGGCGGUCGUCAGCUAGUGUCGUGAGAUGUUGGGUUAAGUCCCGCAACGAGCGCAACCCACGUUUCAUAGUUGCUACCCGCAAGGGAGCUCUCUAGAGAGACUGCCGGGGACAACCCGGAGGAAGGUGUGGAUGACGUCAAGUCCUGCAUGGCCCUUACAUCCUGGGCUAUCACACGUGCUCACAAUGGUCGGUACAAUGGGUCGCAAUAUCUCGAGA